AGUGGGUCCCCAAAGCCCUCUGUGAAUCUGCAGUUUACAAGCUCCUGCCCUGUAACUUACUGGUACAGACAUGGGGCAGUGGCCCUACUUCCUCCUCUAAGAUUUCUCUCUUACACAGCUAUUAAGAAGUUUUUUUGUCUAGUAACUAAUCAGACCACAAGGAAUGAGAAUUAUUAAGUGUCUGUAAUGUCCCUCAUAAAGAGUAGGUCUUGGUACAGGUCACUUGCUUUGCAUUUUAAAAAAUGUACAGUUACUCAGGCACCGUUCUACAUGAAUUUUACCUCACAAUCCUGUGGGAUGGGUAUUAUUGUUCCUAGUUUAUAAUUGUGAGCAAAAGGACGCACAGAGGGUCUUGGUAACUUGCCCAAAGUCACCCAGCUGGGAAGUUGACAGAGCCAAGUUUUGGAACCAGGUGUGGGAUUUCAGUCUCUUCUAACCACUGUAGCGCACUUCCUCUCAUGGUUCUUUCAUUGUGCGUGUUAGGAAAGUAAAGUGAAGCCUGAGAUGUCUUUUUUUCCCCAGUAUCUGGGAUUGAAUCUAGGGCCUUGGCACCAAGCUACCUCCCCAGACCUCCUCCCUCUGCCUUCUUCAUUGUUUUUAAUUUUGAGACAGUAUCUCACCAAGCCAUUAACUCAGGCUGGGUUUGAACUUUUUUGGUACCGGGGAUUGAACUUGGGUCCUUGCGCUUGCGGAGCGGGCAGUGAAACCACUGAGCUAAAUCCCCGGCCCUGGGUUUGAACUUUUGAUCCUCCUGCUGCCAUGCUCAGCUCUUGAGAGGUCUUUGAGAUUUUCAUCUGAGAGAUUGUGUAAAAUCUUUGUAAAAGCAUUGUCCUUGUGUAUUUGUCUUAGGUGGUACAAAAUUAAUGUGGUAAGAUUAUAAUAGUUUCUGUUCUAAGGAUUUGAGAAUAGCUUCUUUUCUUUUUUUUUUUGGUACUGGGGAUCGAACUUGGGUCCUUGCGCUUGCGCAGCAGGCGGCGAAACUACUGAGCUAAAUCCCCAGCCCUCCUUUUCUUCCAGCAAAGAGGUAAGUAUCCUGUUGGAUUGAGUGGGAGCUGUUGGCUGGCACACAGGUCUCCGUUUUCUGUAUCUAGCAGGUGAGGUAACUCCUUCUCUUGUACUUUAUUUUCUGGUUUCUUUGACAGCAGUGCUGUCUAACUCUGUUGCACCCUGGGUGGCGUUGCUGUCCUAGAUCGGAUACUGUUUAUCACGGUGCACUUCACAAUGUGUGUUUGAGCCCCGCAGGUAGCAGUGGGUGAUCCAGAGUUACAGGGGCUGGAAGAGCAUGUCAGGGUAGCACAUUGGGUUUGCCACUUUGUGUGCUCCUUCUCUCUACUGUGCUGUUGUUUUAGUUUCUGCUUUCUUUUUGCUUUUUAAAAAAUUUUGCUGUACAGGCUAAUGGGCUUCAUUUGGCAAUUUGUACAUGCACACGACAUACUUUGAUCACCCCAUCCCCUUUGCAGUGCCCCCCGCCCCAGUUCACGAGUGUUUUGGAGGGGAUUUCAAUGCAUAUAAUGUAUUUUGCUUGUGUCCAUCACUCCUACUGCCCACCCUCACACCCCCGUCUUUUUGUCUACCUGGCCAUGUUCUGUAGUUUCUUCCAAGCAUAUAAUGCCAUCAGGACUAGCCAGGGCCAAGAAGAAGGAAAAAACAGUACACAGGAGGGCACUGGAGCCCAUAAAGAUUGUCAUUUACCCUACGGCUCCAGUCAAAUUAGCUGCAGAGCUGGCAUUGGAACCCAAUUUUCUUAAUGCAUAAGUCAGUUUUUUUUCCAAAUGAAUAAGCAUUUCCAUGUAAUUAUGUAAUUUCAUCUUGGUUAUAAAUAAUGCAUAAUGUUUCAUAAGCGUUUUCUACUUUCUACUAUUGUAAGUAAAACUAUGGGUGUUUUUUCAGUCAAGAACUAUUUAUCAGGCACUAAAAAUAAACAAAAGAAUCUCUGCCUCAUGGAGUUUAUAUUCUGACAGAGAAGUAUCAUCUCAAUUACAGUUGUUUCCUUAGGAUAGAGUAUAAGUGAAUUCUCAUAUUACAAAUGAAAAUGUUUAGUAAGUGCAUUUCUAAACAUUAAAAUCAACUUUCUCUCUCUUAAAUUCUGUUUCAGAAGUCUACUACUGUUUUUCUUUUCUUUUCUUUUCUUUUCUUUUCUUUUCUUUUCUUUUUUCUUUUCUUUGAGGCAGGGUCUCCCUUUGUAGUUCAGGCUGGACCUGAACUCACUAGAUAGCCCAGGCUGGCCUCGAACUCUCGGGGAUCCUCCUGCCUCAGCCUCCCGAGUGCUGGGAUCCCAGGUGUGCGCCACUUCGCCUCGUGUCUUUCUUUGGUGUUUGUUGGCCGUGGUGGCGCACACUUGUAAUACCAGUUAUUUGGGAGGUUGAAGAGGAGGAUUGCAGGUUUGAGCCCAGCUUGGGCAACUUAGUGAGAUUUUGUCUCAAAAUGAAAAUAAAAAGGGGCAGGGGUGUAGCUCAGUGGUAGAGUGCUUGCUUCAUGGGAGACCUAGGGUUGAGUUCCCAGGAUGGGGCGGUAAUAAUGUUUGCUCCCUCAUACACAUGUGCUACCACAAAUUAAAAUGAGUAGGAACCUCUGACAAAAGUUAAGUAUUGUUAAUUAUUGAUAAUUUGGGUAAUUGCUUUUUUUCACUGUAUUGCUAAAAAUGUAUAAAAUAUUUAUGAUUUUUGGUGUGGCUGGGAAAAUUUUCUAUUUAUUGUAAAUAACCAAUAAAAUCUAAAUUAAAGUCAGAUUUCAAAUUGAUUGUAUUUAUGCCUUGGUUUGUAGAUUUUCCCCUUCUUUCAUUUCUAGGAAUUCUCUAGGGAGUUAGUAGCAACCUUAAUAAAAUGGUGUAACUUAGGGAAGGCAUUAGAUGUUAUUCAUCCUACUCUGAGAUGGAUGCCUAGUUUGAACUUUCAUUUUGUUGUGUGUGUUUAGUAACAACAGCAGCAGCAGGAACAACAAAUAUUCCUUUAAAAAAGUUAUGACCGAGUCUCAGAUUGAAGGAGGGUUUGAUGACUGAUUCCUGUUGCUGAGUUCAGCAGACUUUAAGAUGGAAGUCUAUUCAGAAGGAAUUCACACUAGGAAUUCCUAGUGGUCCCGGAACACAUCCAAGGAUAAAGAGGAACUACCGUAGAAGUUUUAAAAGUAUCUAAAAUAAAACUUCAGAGCUCUUCAUUCAAUCUUUUGAGAGCUUCAUGUAAACCAUCAUGUGGGAUGAAUCAGCUGCACAUGCCAGCUCUUCCUUCCUGUGAGUUCCCAGCAUUUCAUUUCCUGAAUUUCUUGUGUGGAGUGGAGAGCAGAGCUCAGAAACAUGGCAUCCCCUGCUUUGUGACCUGAGAGGGUGUUGCAGGGCCAGCUAUAUAGCAAAUACCUUAGGCAUUGUUGGCUGUCUGGGCUCUGUUACAGCAACGCAGCUCUGCCACGGUAGUGGGAAGCAGCCAACCACACAGGUAUGGAAACAUGGGGAGGCUGUGUUCCAGGAAAGCUUUAUUUACAAAAACAGGUUGUGGUCUCUUGGCCCGUGAUCCCUAGUUUGCUAUCCUUUGCUCUAGAGUGCAUGGAAAUCUUAAUCUUUACUGGGUUCCAAAGGAUGUUGUUAUUUUAUUUACCAGAUUGGAACCUCAGGAUUACUUUUAUUAGAUUUCUUUCAAAAUUAAUUAAUAGAGAAAAAAAUUAAUUAAUAGAGGGCUGGGGAUUUAGCUCAGUGGUGCCGCUGUCUGCCUCACAAGUGCAAGGUCCUGAGUUUGAUCCCUGGCAUCUCCCCCCACCCCAUUAAUUAAUAGAUAUUUGGGGUGAAACAUUGCAUUGUAGUUUUGGUUUCUUUUUGGGGACAUGCUUCUUUGGCAUUGAAAGAUACAGAUUUUUUUUUUAUUUCUCUAAGCAAGAUUUAAGCAGGCUUGAUUUUUUUUAGUCUUAUGUGACUCUCAAUAAAAAACAAACUAAAAACCAAACCAACCUUGGUCACUUACUAUAAUAACUGAUAUAGCUAUACUACUGGUGGCAUAUGGUAGAGCAUACCUUUUAAUAAAUUGUUAAAUAUAAAGCACAGAAAGUCUCAAGUUAUGGUAUGUUAUAGGUGCCUGUGGGGUUAUUAGAUUAGAGGGAUGAUUUCAAUUUAGUUUGAAUCCUUACCAGAUUGCUGAUUGUAGGCUCAGGAUAUUGGUGUGUUUGUGCUUUACAGCUACUACAGGUCCUGGUUGCUAUGGCUUCUCAUUAGCUUCUUAAGAUCCCUUUGGAGCCCUGGUUGCCUGGCAGGAGAAAAGGCAGAAGCUGCUAGAAGCUGUGAGGACAGAUGCAAGCUGCAGAAGUAGCCCCUGGGGGAACACUGGGUAUAUUGACCAAGGUUUGUGUGUGUGGUCACAUAUGAACUUUCGGUUUUCCUAGGCGGAGCUCCUGGUCAUACGAGUUAAUUACUGUGUGCUGCAAGUGAUCUUUGUUUUAGGGAUUCGGCAAUUUGAACUCUUUAAUAAAUUUUUAAAAAUGCAAAUUAGGAAAUUUUGUUUUGAGUGCAUUCCUGCCUUUCAUGAAAGUGCUUUUGACCUUUAAUAAUAAUGAGUAAUUGAAAUAUUAUAGGUUUUAAUAAUGGCUACUACUAAUCCAUUAAAAAGGUCAAUCUACAGUGAAAGCUUGCAUAAUUAGAAGAGUAUUAUGAUUAGAAUUUAAUUAUUUCAGGCUCACAAGAAUAUUAGACUCUAGAGGGCAGUGUAGCUCAGCAUGUUCAUGCUUCUGCUGACAGUGAAAUUUUGCUUUGGAAAAGUAAUUUACUUUGGAAGAACAAUCUAGGUAUUCUGAACUUUUCCUUACCAUAUGGUGACCCAGUUUAAUAGAAAUGUGAGUUUUGGAAAGAAGUGGUCUGGUGUGGCUUAGAAGGUUAGAUAAUACAUCAUGAUUUAUUUGGCCCCAAGGAAUAGCCUUUCUUCAUUUAAAACACAGUGUGGUAGCACAUGUGCUGUGAUUUCAGCAUUUGGAAGGUUGAGGCAGGAGGAUUGAGAUUUCAAGGCUGGCCUGGGCUAAUUGACUUCGAGGUCCUGUCUUGGGAGAAAUAACCAAUAAAACAUUUUGACUUCAGAAACACUGGAAUUCUGUUACUGAUUCAGCUAAAUUGAAUUGAUACUGCUUUUCAGGCCUCUAUGGAACAUGAAGCAAAAGGAAUAGUACAUGUUGUGUUUUCAGAUCUUUUUUGGGGAAGGAUAUGAAUGUACCCUCUGUUAGAGAAUUAUUCUGACAUACGUUUUUGGUAGUUUUUUAUUUUCCAAAUAAUACUAAUUAAAAAUAUUUACACAGCUACUCCUAAGUCCACAGUUUAGCACUCUUAUUUGUAUGGUUUUAAAAGUUUUAGCACUAGGGCCAGGGAUGUGUAGCUCAGCAGCGCUGCACUGCGCCUGCUUGGCAAGUGCAAGGUCCUGAGUUCAAUUCCCAGUACCAGGGGAAAAAAAAGUUUAUAGCACAAGAUCUUUAUGUUAAGUAUUGGGGGAAAAAUUCAGAAUAAAGCCUGAUAUAUUAUAUACAUGUCUUUCUCUGUAUUUUAUUUUUUGGUACUGGGAAUUGAACUCAGGUCCUUUUGCUUGCCAGGCAGGUGUGGCGCCACUGAGCUACACAUCCCUGGCUGUAUUUUAUUUAAAAUAUAUUGAUUUUUAAAUGAUGGUCAUCUUUUUUUCCCUCUGGUGGUAAAAUAUUAGUGCAAAUUUUCUUCAACAUAAAGUUUACCACAGAUGUAAAUGAAUUUUCUCGAUUGAAAAUGGCCCUUCACCUGCCAUUCUGAGACAUUUUUAAACAACCCUUAGAGUGGAAUUCUUGAAACCAGUGCUUGAUUGGUUGAUAUCUCUUAGUGCGGAGCCUUUCUAAACUUUUCAAACAUAUGCAUUUAGCAAAAUCUAAAACAUAAAUUAUGUCAAUUACCUUUUCUUUCAAUCCUUAAACUUGUGUGUAUUUUCAGGGAAAUCUAGUCAUAUAUUUUUGGCACAUUUACACAUAAGCCAUCAUAUGUGAUUAGGAAAGAACUAUUUUGAAGUCUAAAAGAGUUUUUGGAGCCUUUAAUUUUGUUUCUUGCUUCUAAGCAGAAAGUGGGAAUUACAAAGGCCAAGUUAAUGAAUCUCCUGGAAUUUUGGGUUGAAGUUUUUAAAUUAUGAACUGCAUUUUUUUUUUUCGGAGUGAAGGUUUUACUAGGUCGUUUAGGCUGUUUUGAAGUGAUUAUAUAGCUCAGGCUGGCCUCGAAUUCAUGGUGAUCCUAUUGCCUGAAUUGCAAAUUUGGGAAACAGUUUUUGUUUCUGUGAUUCUAAUGUUAUUAUAGUGUGGAAAUUGGUAUAUUCAGUGGUUAAAUGUGACAGGCGUUUGAGAUUUUAAGUUCAAAUUUUGACCUUAGAAUGCUUUUUUGGGGGGGUGGGGAGACAGAGUCUCACUAUGUAGUUUGGGCUUCCUUGAGGCCAUGAACUAUGUAGCUUCAAAACUUUAUCAGUCCUGCCUCAGUUUCCUGAGUGCUGGAAUUACAGGUGUGCACCGUCACACCUGGCUAGAAUGACUUUAAACAAAAUGUAGUUAUUCAAUGUUUCCUUUUUCUUUGUCUGAUUGAGAAUAAUUCAAGGUUACCAUUCAUGCUUGAAAUAUGUGUUUGUUAAAGAAUGUUGAAAUUCUUGGAUGAAAGAUCUUAUACAAGAGCAGAUAAUACAAAUUUAAGAAAAUACCAAAUGGAGAUUCUGCUUUUGGUCAUUUCACAUUGGGUUGUAGAUAGCAGCUAAAGUGAUAUUCAUUCAUAUUCUCUCUUCUUCCCUUUCUGUCUCUGUCUCUGUCUGUGUCUCUCUGUCUCUGUCUGUCUAUCUAUCUAUCUAUCUAUCUAUCUAUCUAUCUAUCUAUCUAUCUCUGUCUCUCUUGAAUUCAGGGCAUUCUACCAUUCAGCUACACCCCCAGAUCUUUUUAUUUUUUUUUGGUACGGGGGAUUGAACUCUCAGGUCCUUCUGCUUGUGGGGCAGGUGGUGGAACCACUGAGCUAAAUCCCUGGCCCUCUCUUUAGUUUUUAGUUAUGAGACAAGGUUUUGUUAAGUUGCCCAGGAUGGCUUCAAGUUUGUGAUCCUCUUUCCUCAGCUUCCUAAGUAGCUGGGAUUAUAGACUGCACUGCCACACUUGGCUUCCUUAGUCUUCCUGUUUUGUCUAGUUAUAUAAGAGAAUUAUUCCAUUGUCCCAUUGCUUUCUACAUCUAGUUGGAUAAAAUAGUUAUUUGACCUAGUUACAAGUAUUUCUUAUUUGGGAAGAAACAAAUCAGGAGUUUUUUAUAGAAAUAAUAAAUCGUGUGUUAGUUUUGUUAUUGGUAUUGCAUGUAACUUCACCUCUGGCAAUACCUGUAUAUAUCCUUCCCCCCAUUCUAGUCACAGAGAACAAUAUAAAAUAGCUAUUUGUAUGAAAUAUACAACAUACAUCAGAACUUGAAAUUCAGUGUUUAAAAAAUUUACAUAGAAUUUGUGUAGUUAAGGAAAGUUUUUUUUUUUUUAAAGAAAAAAAGAAAGAUCUGUUUUGGAGAAGUUGACUGUUCAUUUACAUAGUAUCUAGAAAUAGAAGGCAAACUUAAAAAAAAAAAAUGGAAUGCUUCACGAAUUUGCCUGUCAUCCUUGUGCACGGGCCAUGCUAAUCUCCUCUGUAUCGUUCCAAUUUUAGCAUAUGUGCUGCUGAAGUGAGCAUGAAGGUGAACAUUUUAAGUAGCUAUAAGUAGAGAAAGUAACUAAAUCCCUGAUUUUACAAAGGAUCUGGGAGAUAACUGCCUAAUUCUCAAAUGAAAUUAACAGACUUACUAAAUGCUUGCUUUAUUCUAGCAAGUGACAGAGAAUUGCUUUGCUAUAGAUAGCAUUACUUAGGUUUUCAAAAAUUUGAAGAUAAUAUGGGCAAAGUCUGGUACAGUAUUUUGAAACAUACCGAAAAUUUCUUUUGUACUAAGAUUUAAGUACUAUUUAAAUGUAUUCUAUUCAACAUAUGCAACUCAAUUGAUUUCUCAUACAUUGAAAAACAACUGUAUGCACAAUACCUCAUCCUAGUCCUUUGGAGCAAAUUUUAGUUACUGUUUUCCCCCAGUUUACCUAAAUCCAUUAGUUUGAUUUCUCCAAUUUUCCUUAUUUCCCCAGUUUACCUGUAUGUUUCACCAUCUUGUUGAAUUUGUUUUUGGUUUUGUUUUUUUGGGUGGCAGUAGCUCCUUUGGCUUGAGAAAAAAUACUCUCCAGUUCCAAGUAUAAAAUACCUUGAAUCGUCUGUAUGAAUGUCUUGUUCUCUGUGGACACAUACCUUUCCUUAUUACCUAAGAGGCUGCCUUGUUAUUGUUAAUUGUUAGUUUGAGAUCUGGGAUAAAUCACCAAAUGGAGAUGUCAGCUAAUCAGUGCUUCCAGCUUCAGGUUUGCCCAUCAGAGGACAGUUCCUUCCAGUAAUUACACCCUUCUGGUCAAAUUGCUGUCCACAGCUCUCUCAUUAUGUGUUUUGUAACUCCUUAAAUAGCUAGAAUAGGAGCAGGCAAGCUUUUUAUGAAAAUGGUCAGAUGAUAAAUGUUUUUUUUAUUUGUUUGUUUUAAAAUUUUUGUUUUUUGGUACUGGGGAUCGAACUUGGAACUUUGUGCUUGCGAGGCAGGCGAUGGAACCACUGAACUACAUCCCCAGCCCUAAAUGUUUUUGGUUUUGUGGGGCAAAUAAUCUUUGUUGCAAUCAUUCAGCCUUGUCAUUGUCAGACAGGAGCAGCCAUGGACAGUAUGUAAAUAAACAGGCGUGACUAUUUUCAAUAAAAUUGUAUUAAUGGACACUGACAUUUAGAUAUUUUGUAAUUUUCAUGCAUCACAGAAUAUUAUUCUUCUUUUGAAACCAUUCUUCACUCAUAAUAGGCACACAAAAGCAGGCUGUGGGCUGGGUUUGACCUAUGGCCAUGUUUUGCCAAUCCCUUAGAUAGAAAUCCAGAAAGGAGGUACAUAGAAGUGGUUGUUCAUUGACAACUUUAAUUUUUUUUUUAUGGUACCUGGAAUUGAGCUCAGGACCUUGGGCUUGCCAGGCAGGCGUGGCGCCACUGAGCUACAUCCCUGGCCCUUGACGAUUUUAACUCAUGCAUAUUUACAGGGUUGUUUUUGUAGCUACUAAAUGUGGAAUGAAUGCAUUUGUUAAUAUGAUCGGCAAUGUGAAUAACAUGAUUUCUUUUUAUUUUAUUUAUUUAUUUUUUUUGGUAACCGGGGAUCCAACUCGGGUCCUUGCGCUUUCGAGGCAGGUGCCGGAACCACUGAGCUAAAUCCCUAGCCCAAAUAACUUGAUUUCUAAUGGCAACUUCAGGGUCUAGAGAUAGAAUACUUUUGGAUGAUACAAGAUUAAAGCUGGUUUUCUUCAUCAGUAGAUGCGGGAAAUUGCCAAGGUCUGUGGAGCAGAAUCUUUGAUUUACAAGUUGAAAUAAGGCCAGAAUACACUAGAAUUAGAACUACAUAGGGUUGUUUGAUAUAAGAGCUUCAUUAAAGGGAAGGAACUGCCUUCAUGGCUGUUUCGGCUUGUGAUUUCUGUUUUGGUGUAUUCUGUCCCAACCACUUGAUUUGUGCAGGGUGAUCAUGAUAGUUCAGAUCUAGAAAGUAGGUUGUCUCACAGUUUGAGCCUUUCUUAGCAUUACAGCUUAUCUGGAGGACUGAAAGAGCCAAACUGUCUUUGUACAGAUAGGGGCUACUUUCCUUCUGCUUACGCCUAAAAACCCAGCCUCUGUCUGUGUCAGCAUUUGUUGGAACUAAAUAUUGCACGGACACUAUAUAUUUCACAGUAGACAUAUUUUUUCUACUUAACAUUAAGCAGUUGCUGAAUUUGAAGAACUGUUGCUUCUGUUGAUCCUCACUCUGACCAAAAUUCAUGUACACAGCACAACCUGAAUUAAUAGUGCUCAAACUCAUUUAGCCCUGAGAAUGGUUUAAUCAAAGGUGAACCUUUUAAAGAUCUUAUGAGGCAGCAUCCUAAAACAAAUUGAAGAAAAGAAAAGUAGUUAGCACUUAAAAUGAUUUUUUUGGUCAGAGUUUAUAUUUCUCUUUUUAAAAGCUUUCUUAAACAGCUCUGUGGUUGUUCCUAUGUUCUAUUUAGAUAGAAUAAAGAAAAUCCUAGGGCGGGGGAUUUAGCUCAGUGGUUCUGGCGCCUGCCUUGCAAGCAUAAGGUCCUGAGUUCAAUCCCCAGUACCAAAAAAAAAAAGAAAAUCCUAUUUGUAUACUUUAUAUUGAACUGCAGGUAUUCAGCCUAAUUACUAAUCUGUUUUUGGUGAAAGCCCAUUCACAGGGCAAAUUAUUUAUCUUUCUUAUUUCUCACCUGAAUGUGUGUUGUGGCUAACAGGUUAGAUUUUCCUCCACUUUGUUGUCAUUCUGCAAACCCAACACCCCCCACCCCCGCCGAAAUGGAUGGCUAAGUUGAUAUUUGUCAGGCUUUUAGGACUGGGCAGCUGUAAGUGCUGAUCUGCAUGACCUUCUCAGCACCCUCUUUCUUUUUUUUUUUUAAUUCUUUUAUUGAUACAUUUUAGGUAUACAAUACGUUUAUAGGUACAAGCAUUGGGUGCUUGUACCUGUACGUGAUGUAUCUUGAUUCUUAUUUUUUUCCCCAUUACCUGUGCGCCCUUCACCCCCUUCACCCUUCCCUAUUUACAUAGACUUUGUUUCCAUUUUUUUUAUUUUCUCAUAAUUUUUCCUUUCCCUUCUUUUCUUUGCCCUUCCCCUCCCACCACCCCUCCACCUUUGGACCUUUUCCUAUUUCAAAUUAUCAGUUAUGCGUUUUAAUCAUUUUAAUACUUAUUUACACUUUCAGUUUCUCACACUAGAGAAACUAUUUGGUAUUUACAUGUGUGUCCUAUUUAUUUCACUUAAGAGUAUGACCUCAAUAUGCACCCAUUUAGCUGUAAAUGUCUCUAGUUUCUCAUUCUUUAUGGCUGAGUAGUACUCCAUUUUAUUAAAAAACCACAUCUUUAUCCAGUUUCCAGUUGAUGGGCACUUGGGCUGUUUCCAGCCUUUAUCAGCACCCUCUUUCUAAUGAGAGCCCUGAUUGAUUUGUGGUUUGGGUAGUUGGCAAUAGGUAGGUAAAGGAUCAGAGGGAAACUUGCAUUGUCUGAUUAAUUGAAUCUCCAUGUCAAAUAGCUUUUCAUUUUGAAGUGUGGAGCCUGAGUUUAAAUCCUGGUUCCUAAAUUAACUAUAUGGGUUCAGUGAAGAGAUAUUAUUCAACACCUUUGUCCCAGCUUUGCUCAUUUAUAAAGUGGAGCUAAUAGUAGUACUUGUCCUGUAAGAAUAUUAUCAUUUAUAAAAUAUUUAGAGUCAGUGCUUGACACAGGGUUAGUGCUUCCUGAAUAUUAUUGUUAGUAUCAUUAUCACCAGCAUCAUUUCACUCAUUUCACAGUUGGAUGGAAAACAGUUGAUGUUUUAAGCAGGAAGUUACCAGAAUUGAGGUUUGAAGACACUGGUUUGAUAGCAAAGGGGAAAUUGGAUGUGGUUCUGGUUAAGCAAAGGUAGGCAGGAAGACCAUUGUUAUGGAUUGUGUUCUUGAAAAUCUAUGUAUUGAAGUCCUCUCCCCAUGUACCGUAGAAUAUAACAGUAUUUGGAAAGAGUCAUUGUAGAUGUAAUUAACGAGAUGAGGUUAUUAGUGUGGGUCCUAAUCCCACAUGACAACUGUUAAAACAGUGUCAGAGAGAUCUAGAGAGCAGACAGCCCUCAGUAAACCGAGGAAAAAUGCCUUUUCUCACAGCCCUCAGAAGGGACCUGUGCUGUGAACAUCUCCAUUUACUAAGUUGCCAACGCUGGGCUUGAAUUUAUGGUUUUCCUGCCUCAGCCUCUCAGAGUGCUGGAUUGCAAGGCAUAUGCCACCACACCUGGCAGUUAUGGCAGUUUUGUUAGGGCAGCCCUAGGAAGCUAGACGGAUAAUGUCUGAACCGAGACCAUGUUGGUGCACCUGAAGAGGUGAAGGAAGAUCUUUAAAAUGCAGAAUCAGUAGUUAGUCACCUAUUGGAUCUGAGGAGGGGGAGGAUUUUCCUUGAGUCCGUGUGGUACAGUUUACUGUUACCGAGAAUACGUGAGAAGGGAAAGUUUCUGGCAUGUUGUGUUUGAGGGACAUGCGGGGGAUUUCAUUUCUAAGACUUUUAUUUGAACUAAGAAUCACUCUUCCCUAGUUUCUUGGAGCUUAUUUUUUUUAAAAGGAAGCAUUUUAUUAUUUUUGAAGCAAAAACUAUUAGAGCUGUUAUUUAAAAAUAAACGUCUCUCACUUAAGUGCUCGGUUUGAAAUCAGGGUGUGUGAAGGGUCCAGGUUGCUUGAGGAAUUUCUUUUUUUUGGUGCCAGGGAUCGAACUUGAGACCUUGCGCUUGCGAAACAGGGGCCAGAACCACUGAGCUAAAUCCCUGGCCCCUCGAGGAACUUCUUUACAUGGUUCCAGUGACCUUCCCAGUCUUGGAGCUUAUUUUUAAAAGUAUCUGAUUUUUAAAUUUAUUGCAUAAAAAUAUUACCUCUUAUUAGUUCUAAUAUUUUGUUCAUUUUUUUGUACAGAUUUUUCCCAGUUAAGCAAUCAUAUUGUCUGCAAAUAAUUUUUUAAAAAAAAAUCUGUUCAGCCAACUGUUAGUCCUCUGGUCUCAGCUUCCCAAAGUGCUGUGAUUACUGGUGUGUACUACCACACCUGGCAGAAAGGACUUUAAAUAGUGUUAAGGGAGGUUUUUUUUUUUUUUUUUUUUACCUGGGAUCAAAUUUAGGACCUUGUGCUUGCAAGGCAGGAGCGGUGCCACUGAGCUACAUCCUCAGCCUAAAGAAGUAUUUUUUUAAUGGACAUUGAUAUCAUUUUGCCUCUUUGGUAAGGUCUUCCUUAUUAAUAGUACGCACUAUCCUCUUCUCUGCUGCACUAGCACUGUCUUCUUCUCUGCUGCUGUGUAGUGCUCCUCACUGAAUUAAGGAUGGAAGAUUCCCUCAAGGAAGGAGAUUCCUAUCUGCCAAUUCUAAGUACAGUGUUCUUGCUCCAUAAGAAGCCAACUUGUUUUUUGGUACCAGAGAUCGAACUCGGGACCUUCCGCUUGCGAUGCAGGCUGCAGAACCACUGAGCUAAAAUCCCCGGCCCUGCUUUUGCUUGUUUUUAUUUUUAUUUUUUAUCUUUUUGGUACCAGGGUUGAACUUGGGUCCUUGCGCUUGCGCAGCAGACGGCGAAACCACUCAGCUAAAUCCUGGGCCCUGUUUUUAAAGACAAAAGUCUUGCUAUACAUUCAGGGCUGGUCUUGAGCUCACUGUGUAGCCCAGGGUGGUCUUGAACUCACAGUUCUUUUGCCUCAGCCUCCCUAGUGCUGGGAUUACAGUAGGCUAGUACUGGGAUUUCAGGAGUGUGCCCCCACACCUAGCUACAGACUUUCUUUUUUUUUUUGGUACUGGGGAUCGAACUUGGGUUCUUGUACUUACGAGGCAGGCAUCACAACCACUGAGCUAAAUCCCCGGCCCCUAGCUUCAGAUUCUUAAUUUACUAAAUAAUAUGCAAAUGUGUGCAAACACUUUUAAUUUGCAUUUUGGCUGUUUUACCUCUUUGAAGGUAGUUGCUUCAAAUGGUCCCUUGAAAGAAUUGAUGAUUUCUAUAUUGAGUUGUGGAAUUUCAUUUUGGUCAUUUUCCAGAGAAGCAGAUGAGAAAAUUACACUAAAAUUGUUUUGAUUUAUAUUUGAAUUGUGUGAAAUUUUCUGUUAACAUACAUUGCCAUAGAAGAGUCUAGAAGAUUGGUUUCUCUUUUUUUUCAGGCAUUUGUAACAAAUCUUAGGGUAGACCUAGAAUCAUCCCAUGAGGGAGGGGUUUGGUGGGACAGAUACCAAGAGGGGUAAAGGAGGAGUGAUAAUGGAAUGUCUGGUGAGAGUUUCACAGAGGUGGCUGGCCUCUGCUGGACAUGUGUCUGCUGAGGUCGCUGGGUCUUGGCACUAUGUAACAGCAUCUGAAUCGGGUCUCAGUAGGACUGAGUGGGGAAGUAUCCUGAAGAUGAGAUGGACUGCAAGAAAUGAAAGUUGUCAAGACUUGAGAGGCUUCAUUUUGUUGAUCUCUUAGCUGUACUCCUAGGUGUGCAUAGUCGCUAAUGAUGUUGCCGCCUGCUACUUCUGUCACCUCUGUCUUCCGUUGGUGCCUCAGGGACAGCUGUCUUUUCCCACUCUCUUAUUCUGAUCCAUCUGGGUUUGACACACACUGUUUUACUCCUUUACCCUCAGUCUUUUUUUACUUCAUUCCAUGUCAGGCAGUAUUUUAUGUCUAUCUUUUCUCUUUUAAUUCUUUCUUUCCUUUUUUUUGGUACUGGGAAUCGAACUUGGGUCCUUGUGCUUGGGAGGCAGGCAGCGGAACCACUGAGCUAAAUCCCUGGCCCUUUUAAUUCUUUCUUGGUUACCUCAGGAAAAUACUUCUCUUCCAAAAAACUGUCCCUGAUUAUGGCUGCCUAAAUAUAGACAGGGAAGCUAGUAAUACCUGCACUAAGGCAGACAGAGGUGCAUCAUUUUUAUUUUAUUUUAUUUUAUUUUAUUUUAUUUUAUUUUAUGUAUCGGGGAUCAAACUCGGGACCUUGCGCUUGGAAGGCAGGCACCGGAACCACUGAGCUAAAUCCCCAGCCCGAGCUGCAUUAUUUUUAAAAUAAAAUCAUUCAUUAUAAAGAACCUUUUCUUAGCCCUUGAGUAUAGCCUGAAGACUCAUUUACAGUCUCCACAAAUAGUUUCUUUUUCAUCCGUCUGUUUUUGGUCAAAUAUUAAAAUUGCAAAUUGAAAUGAUUCUUAUUCAAGGAUUUUAUAGAUAUUCAGCAAUGUUAUUUUCUGUAAUUUUUCACUGAAACACAUAUAUGGCAACCUGUUAUGGAUUUGUUGGGUUAGUGACCUAGCCUGGGACAGUAAUUACCAUUUGUAAAAUUGUGUGAAAUGUGAAUUUUAAAUAAUCUACAAGUGAACUUGGGAGCAUACUGAAGCUGUAAAUUGAGAGCAGCCUGUGUUUUAUAAGGCACAUCUAAGAAAGUCACCAUGUUUUCCUUAUUUUUCUCACCCCCCAUUAAUCGUGACCUCGUCCGUCUCAGUCCCUCGAUCUUACUCUCCCUGCUGGGGGGAGCCAAGUCCAGGCCUGGGCUUGAUCUCUUACUGAAGCGAUGCAGUAGGCCCUGAACUGCCCCAGUUCCUUCCACUCAGCACUUAGCCUCUUCUCUACACUCACAGCCAGAGUGUACAGAAGCAAAUCUGGUGCUCACUGUCUUGCUCUCACCGCCUUUUGAUGCCUUCUCCAGCACCCAUGUGAUGAGAGGGCAAGUGCUAGAUGGCAGAGCCCUUAGCCUGCUUGUCUCGGGAAUGUAUCUGAUGAAACCAGCGUGGGUCACAGAGAAAGC
rnacentral:lncRNA from 1 species